UAGGGAAUCUUCCGCAAUGGACGCAAGUCUGACGGAGCAACGCCGCGUGAGUGAAGAAGGAUUUCGGUUCGUAAAACUCUGUUGUUAGAGAAGAACAGCGCAUAGAGUAACUGUUAUGCGUGUGACGGUAUCUAACCAGAAAGCCACGGCUAACUACGUGCCAGCAGCCGCGGUAAUACGUAGGUGGCAAGCGUUGUCCGGAUUUAUUGGGCGUAAAGCGAGCGCAGGCGGUCAAUUAAGUCUGAUGUGAAAGCCCCCGGCUCAACCGGGGAGGGUCAUUGGACACUGGUUGACUUGAGUGCAGAAGAGGAGAGUGGAAUUCCAUGUGUAGCGGUGAAAUGCGUAGAUAUAUGGAGAAACACCAGUAGCGAAGGCGACUCUCUGGUCUGUAACUGACGCUGAGGCUCGAAAGCGUGGGUAGCAAACAGG
rnacentral:rRNA from 1 species